CUGUGCUGGUGCUUCACAACUUGUACUGUACAGCGCACUCUGUUUUCCCUAUUCCAAUCAAUGAGUAUUGUUAUUGCCGGACUUGUAUCUGAUUGCCAGACAACUGAAACACGUCUAUUCAACUUUGUUACAUAAAGGUGCCAUGCUGUUGGGGGUACGUGGAUGAACCCCCCUUUCUGGAAGCAUGGCGUCGCCAGGAGACAGAGAUGCACUGGUGGAGAGGGGAUACAUCCCCCUGGACAUUGACAAUGUCCACAUGCUUCUGCAGGUGGAGCAAGAGCAAAUUCAGAGAGAGAACCUUCACCAACUGGAUCAAUGCUCAGCUCUCAAA